AUGAACGCUGGCGGCGUGCCUAAAACAUGCCAGUCGAGCGAACAGAUGAGGAGCUUGCUCCUCUGACGUUAGCGGCGGACGGGUGAGUAACACGUGGAUAACCUACCUAUAAGACUGGGAUAACUUCGGGAAACCGGAGCUAAUACCGGAUAAUAUAUUGAACCGCAUGGUUCAAUAGUGAAAGACGGUUUUGCUGUCACUUAUAGAUGGAUCCGCGCCGCAUUAGCUAGUUGGUAAGGUAACGGCUUACCAAGGCAACGAUGCGUAGCCGACCUGAGAGGGUGAUCGGCCACACUGGAACUGAGACACGGUCCAGACUCCUACGGGAGGCAGCAGUAGGGAAUCUUCCGCAAUGGGCGAAAGCCUGACGGAGCAACGCCGCGUGAGUGAUGAAGGUCUUCGGAUCGUAAAACUCUGUUAUUAGGGAAGAACAAAUGUGUAAGUAACUAUGCACGUCUUGACGGUACCUAAUCAGAAAGCCACGGCUAACUACGUG
rnacentral:rRNA from 1 species